GACGUAGGGCGCGAGCGUUGUCCGGAUUUAUUGGGCGUAAAGAGCUCGUAGGCGGCUUGUCGCGUCGAAUGUGAAAUCUCGGGGCUCAACUCCGAGCUUGCAUUCGAUACGGGCAGGCUAGAGUUCGGUAGGGGAGACUGGAAUUCCUGGUGUAGCGGUGAAAUGCGCAGAUAUCAGGAGGAACACCGAUGGCGAAGGCAGGUCUCUGGGCCACUACUGACGCUGAGAAGCGAAAGCAUGGGGAGCGAACAGG
rnacentral:rRNA from 1 species